rnacentral:tRNA from 2 species
GGAGACGUGUCUGAGUGGUUUAAGGUACCUCCUUGCUAAGGAGGCGGGGUGUAAAAACCCCCGUGAGUUCGAAUCUCACCGUCUCCG